AGGGUGGCACAAAGUGUCUGACUUCUGAUCGUGACCGACUAGUUCUCGACUUACUGACACCAGUUAGCAUACCAGUUCAGAAUUCAAUGCUCGCUAGACGAUAGCUAUCACAAAGCAGAUAAGGCAACCACAACCGUCAUAUCCUGAGAGUCUCAAACGACAGUUCUGCCACUACGUGCAACAUACGUUCCAGUUAGAUGGGAUCAUGCCAACCAGCUUACCA
rnacentral:lncRNA from 1 species